rnacentral:rRNA from 1 species
GUCAGAGUUUGAUCCUGGCUCAGAUUGAACGCUGGCGGCAUGCCUUACACAUGCAAGUCGAACGGCAGCACGGGAGCAAUCCUGGUGGCGAGUGGCGAACGGGUGAGUAAUAUAUCGGAACGUGCCCAGUCGUGGGGGAUAACGUAGCGAAAGCUACGCUAAUACCGCAUACGAUCUAUGGAUGAAAGCGGGGGAUCGCAAGACCUCGCGCGAUUGGAGCGGCCGAUAUCAGAUUAGGUAGUUGGUGAGGUAAAGGCUCACCAAGCCUUCGAUCUGUAGCUGGUCUGAGAGGACGACCAGCCACACUGGGACUGAGACACGGCCCAGACUCCUACGGGGAGCAGCAGUGGGGGAAUUUUGGACAAUGGCGCAAGCCUGAUCCAGCCAUGCCGCGUGC